rnacentral:rRNA from 1 species
AGAGCGGGAGCCCGGAGAUGGGCACUGAGACAAGGGCCCAGGCCCUACGGGGCGCAGCAGUCGCGAAAACUCCGCAAUGCGCGAAAGCGUGACGGGGCUACCCCGAGUGCCGUCCGCUGAGGAUGGCUUUUCCCCGGUGUAAUGAGCCGGGGGAAUAAGGAGAGGGCAAGUCUGGUGUCAGCCGCCGCGGUAAUACCAGCUCUCCGAGUAGUAGGGACGAUUAUUGGGCCUAAAGCGUCCGUAGCCGGCUUAGCAAGUCUCCUGUUAAAUUCAGCGACCUAAUCGUUGAGCCGCGGGAGAUACUACUAGGCUAGGAGGCGGGAGAGGCCGACGGUAUUCCCGGGGUAGGGGUGAAAUCCUAUAAUCCCGGGAGGACCACCAGUGGCGAAGGCUGUCGGCUAGAACGCGCCCGACGGUG